GUUAAAAGAUGAAGAAUGUGAGAGACUUUCGAAAGUGCGAGAUCAACUUGGGCAGGAGUUGGAAGAACUCACAGCUAGUUUAUUUGAGGUUGGUCUGUUUACAUCGUGGCCAAGAACAAUAUCUCAAUUGUAUAUGUUGAUAGAAUCGGAUUGUGAAGGCAUCUUGAGAAGGAUAUGGCUAGCUUCAUGUGUGUGCACAAUACCUCUAAGGUAGACAGAAGAUAAUCUUUAAGGAAAUGUAGUCUCUAACUUAAAAUACACAAAGAGGAAACAGGAACACUGUAGCUGUCCGUGUUGGCCGUGAACAAUGUUUGUGUGCAAGGAAGGGCCAGUAACUUUAGUUUCCAAGUUUACCAGUUAUUUAGGGCCAUUUG
rnacentral:lncRNA from 1 species